rnacentral:rRNA from 1 species
CCCUUAGAUGUUCUGGGCUGCACGCGUGCUACACUGAUAUUGCCAAUAUGUCAUUCUUAUCCGAAAUGGAUUGGGUAAUCAAGUAAUGAAAUUUCAUGCUUGGAAUCGGUAAUUGCAAUUUUAUCGUGAACGAGGAAUUCCUAGUAAGCACUAGUCAUCAGCUAAUGUUGAUUAUGUCCCUGCCCUUUGUACACACCGCCCGUCGCUACUACUGAUUGGGUGUUCAAGUGAGAUGCUUAGACCCUUGUUGCAUGGUUCAUUAUUGUGCUCCGAAAGGAAAAAGUUUCAAGCUUGAGUGUCCAGAGGAAGUAAAAGUCGUAACA